rfam:Mus musculus chromosome 13, GRC primary reference assembly.
ACAAAGGCUCUUUUCAGAGCUAACACAUUUGUCUUUUUAAGGAGCUU